rnacentral:rRNA from 1 species
UAUUGCGCAAUGGAGGAAACUCUGACGCAGUGACGCCGCGUAUAGGAAGAAGGUUUUCGGAUUGUAAACUAUUGUCGUGCGGGAAGAAAUUGACAGUACCUUAGGAGGAAGCUCCGGCUAACAAUGUGCACGCACCCGCGGUAAUACAUAGGGAGCAAGCGUUAUCCGGAGUUAUUGGGUGUAAAGGGUGCGUAGACGGGAAAUUAAGUUAGUUGUGAAAUCCCUCGGCUUAACUGAGGAACUGCAACUAAAACUGAUUUUCUUGAGUACUGGAGAGGAAAGUGGAAUUCCUAGUGUAGCGGUGAAAUGCGUAGAUAUUAGGAGGAACACCAGUGGCGAAGGCGACUUUCUGGACAGUAACUGACGUUGAGGCACGAAAGUGUGGGGAGCAAACAGG